UGGUUCUGGCAUNGAUGAAGAACGCAGCGAAAUGCGAUAAGUAAUGUGAAUUGCAGAAUUCAGUGAAUCAUCGAAUCUUUGAACGCACAUUGCGCCCCUCGGUAUUCCGGGGGGCAUGCCUGUCCGAGCGUCAUUGCACCUCUCAAGCGUAGCUUGGUCAUGGGUCUGGUCUGCAGAGACCUGCCCGAAAACGAGCGGCGGUCCGGGGAGACCUCAAGCGCAGUCAAAUAUUUCGCUUUGAGUCCCUUCCUGCGGCCUGCCGGAAAUAUACAAAAUUCAAUGAUUGACCUCGGAUCAGGUAGGGAUACCCGCUGA
rnacentral:misc_RNA from 1 species